rnacentral:rRNA from 1 species
UCGGGAAUUUUGCGCAAUGGACGAAAGUCUGACGCAGCAACGCCGCGUGAGGGAUGACGGCCUUCGGGUUGUAAACCUCUUUUGUCAGGGACGAUGAUGACGGUACCGGGAGAAUAAGCCCCGGCUAACUCCGUGCCAGCAGCCGCGGUAAUACGGAGGGGGCUAGCGUUGUUCGGAAUUACUGGGCGUAAAGCGCACGUAGGCGGCUUUGCAAGUUAGAGGUGAAAGCCCGGGGCUCAACUCCGGAAUUGCCUUUAAAACUGCAUCGCUUGAAUUGUGGAGAGGUAAGUGGAAUUCCGAGUGUAGAGGUGAAAUUCGUAGAUAUUCGGAAGAACACCAGUGGCGAAGGCGACUUACUGGACACAUAUUGACGCUGAGGUGCGAAAGCGUGGGGAGCAAAC